CAAAAAGGGAGACAGAAUGGAGUGCUGAAAAUCAAAGCAGCGUGACAUAGCUGACUGAACACAUCACUGUUGUUUUUUUUUUUCUUAUUUAAUGGGUGUAGGACAUCUAAUGGGAAAGUUCUGGAUAUUUUGAAAUUAUCUGAAGGAUAAAGAAUGAGCUCUUCAGUCCUAAAUUGCAACAGACACGGGCGUUGCACUGAGAUGGCUAUGGUAUGCCUGACAGAUUUUGAGGAGUAUGCAAAAGAACAUCUCCCAAAGGCUACCUGGGACUAUUACGCAGCUGGUGCUGAUGAGUGCUGUACUAGAGAUGACAACCUGUUGGCAUAUAAACGAAUUCGUCUGCGCCCCCGGAUGCUGCGGGAUGUGUCCGUCAGCGACACCCGGACUACAGUCCUCGGCACGGAGAUCAGUUUCCCUGUAGGCAUUGCGCCUACUGCCUUUCAUUGCUUGGCAUGGCAUGAAGGAGAAAUUAGUACUGCAAAAGCUACUGAGGCGCUGAACACUUGUUACAUCACCAGCACCUACUCUACCUGCUCAGUGGAGGAGAUUGUGGCAGCUGCUCCCAACGGCUACCGCUGGUUUCAGCUGUACGUCUACCGGAACCGCAAGGUCUCGGAGCAGAUUGUCCACCGGGUGGAAGCACUGGGCUACAAGGCUUUGGUACUUACAGUAGAUGUUCCCUACACUGGGAAAAGGAGGAACGACAUACGGAACCAAUUUCGGCUACCGCCACAUCUUAAAGUAAAGAAUUUUGAUGGUGUUUUCGAGGAAAACAACAGUCCUGAAGAAUAUGGCAUUCCAGCCAACACUCUGGACCCAUCCAUCAGCUGGAAGGACAUCUACUGGCUGCAGUCCUUGACACGCCUGCCCAUCGUUAUCAAGGGGAUUCUGACGAAGGAGGACGCCGAGCUGGCUGUGGAGCACGGGGUCCAGGGCAUCAUUGUGUCCAACCAUGGGGGCAGACAGCUGGACGGAGGGCCUGCUACAAUAGAUGCCCUUGCAGAGAUUGUGGAUAUGGUCCAGGGUAGAAUUGAAGUGUAUUUAGAUGGAGGAGUCCGCACAGGAAGUGAUGUGUUGAAGGCAAUUGCAGUUGGAGCAAAGUGCGUCUUUAUUGGGAGGCCUGUGGUUUGGGGCCUUGCUUACAAGGGGGAAGAAGGAGUCCGGGAGAUUUUGCAGAUUCUCAAUGAUGAAUUUCGCCUGUCCAUGGCACUGGCCGGUUGCAGAAAUGUUUCUGAGAUCAACAGAAACCUGAUUCAGUUCUCCAAGCUUUAGUCUAUGUCCUGCUUCUUAAUCUGAGAAUGCAUGGGGAGUAAAGGGGAAGAACAUAAUAAUAAUAAUAAUAAUAAUUAAUACAAGAAAAACAAUAUGUAAAAUAGUUUCAAUACAUCUGUAAGAUGUUAAAAUGGAAUUGGGGCACCUGGUGAUGCAAAGCAGACUGUCUAUCAAUUUUGGAUAUAC